UGGGGGAUAUUGCACAAUGGGCGAAAGCCUGAUGCAGCGACGCCGCGUGGGGGAUGAAGGCUUUCGGGUUGUAAACCUCUUUCGCUAUCGAACAAGGCCCGCUUAGGGUGGGUUGAGGGUAGGUGGAGAAGAAGCGCCGGCUAACUACGUGCCAGCAGCCGCGGUAAUACGUAGGGCGCGAGCGUUGUCCGGAAUUAUUGGGCGUAAAGGGCUUUUAGGCGGCGUGUUGCGCCUGCUGUGAAAACGCGGGGCUUAACUUCGCGCGUGCAGUGGGUACGGGCAGGCUUGAGUGUGGUAGCUGUGACUGGAAUUCCAGGUGUAGCGGUGGAAUGCGCAGAUAUCUGGAGGAACACCGAUGGCGAAGGCAGGUCACUGGGCCAUUACUGACGCUGAGGAGCGAAAGCAUGGGUAGCGAACAGG
rnacentral:rRNA from 1 species